rnacentral:rRNA from 1 species
GACGAACGCUGGCGGCGUGCUUAACACAUGCAAGUCGAACGGAAAGGCCUCUUUCGGGGGGUACUCGAGUGGCGAACGGGUGAGUAACACGUGAGUAACCUGCCCUUUACUUUGGGAUAUCUUCAGGAAACUGGGGCUAAUACCGGAUAGGAGCUCCUGCUGCGUGGUGGGGGUUGGAAAGUUUCGGCGGGUGGGGAUGGACUCGCGGCUUAUCAGCUUGUUGGUGGGGUAGUGGCUUACCAAGGGUUUGACGGGUAGCCGGGCUGAGAGGGUGACCGGCCACAUUGGGACUGAGAUACGGCCCAGACGCCUACGGGAGGCAGCAGUGGGGAAUAUUGCACAAUGGGUGGAAGGCUGAUGCAGGAACGCCGUGGGCGGGAUGACGGGCUUCGGGUUGUAAACCGCCUUCGCUCAUGACGAAGCUUUGUGUGACGGUAGUGGGUAAAGAAGCACCGGCUAACUACGUG